rnacentral:lncRNA from 1 species
GUCCUAGUUAGGAUUCUUUUCCUAGUGAGGAUUUAAAGUGCUGGCAUUAGACAAGGCUCCUUGUACUUCGCACAGAGCUGGUGCUCAGUGAAGGGCUGUUGAAGGCCUUAGUGAACACAUAGGAUUCAGAGAACUUUUUUUUAAGAGCUCAAAUUUAUUUAUUUAAAAUUUUAUUUAUUAUUUUUAAUUGGAGGACAAUUGCUUUACAAUGUGGUGUUAGCUUCUGCUGUACAACAACCCGAAUCAGCUAUAAGUGUGUGUGUAUUCCCCUCCUUUCCUCCCAUCCCCCCAGGAGACAGAGAACUUCACGAAAUUAAGUGGUCCUUCCCGAAGCCAGAGGGAUGGACCAAACGGCCUCUCUAAACCCCUUUCACCCCGAGUCUGGGAGGGCCAGGGAAGAGCUGGAGUAAAGGGCCAGCUUCACCUCCCAGGCAGGGAAAGACGCCCCCACCCUCACCCCAACCUCCUCCACGCAGAAGGGCUGUGAGAGCAACUCCUUUCCACACAGGAAAAAAUAAACUCAUUGGCAUCUCCCCACCCCCUCAGCACCCGGUCACCCCCUCUCCAUCCCCACCCUGAUCCCUGGACCCAGCCGAAGGAGCUGGAGUCUAGGAAAAACAACUCCUGGAGAAAGGCCCAGGGCAGCUGGGGGUGGGCUGAGGGGUGCGCGCGUCAGUUUUGAAAGCCCUGGGGCCGCUCUAAGCGGAGGGGAGUGAAAGGGGGAGGGGAGGAGGAGUGGGAGAUGGAACAGAGAAAAAGGGAGGAUUAAUUCGCUACUCGGAUACCAGGGCCAAGGACUGAAGCGUCUUCCUGCUUAUCCCCUCCCCUCCUCCAUCAGGCGUCAUCCAAGGGAGUUGCCUUGGGACAUCCAAGGUGGGGGAGGGGGUGCGGGGACGCUGAGGGCCCGGGAGUGGGAAGCGCAAGGGUGUUUGAGGAGCAAGGAUGUGCGAGGCUCCUUACAGACCCCAGUGGGCUGCGUUCUGGAAGACACCCCAUGGCUGACCCUCUCCAGGUCCCGCCUGAGCCCCUGCAAGGGUUCUGCCAGCGCCGGCUCAACAGCGGCACCUGCUGUCCGGGGCCCUCCCUGCGGGGCGGAGCUCCCCCUCCGCCCUGGGAGCCCAGCGGGAUUUCCUCCUCUGUGGACCACAUAGGAAAGAUACUUCCUGCCAAGCAAACCAAAUGUAUUAGGUAACAAUUGAUUUAAAUUCCUUUUUUUUUUUUUUUUUUGGCACCUUACAGUUCUGAUCAGCAUGAGAGAGAGAUAACGUAGGUUUGUUGGGCUAAUCAUUUUCCACACCAGAGGUCCUGCUUAGCCCAGGCUUAUUUCCAUUAGGCCUUGGGUGGGCAGUGGUUGGCAAUGACCUGACCACUCCUAGGGAUUGAGAGCACAGGCUGGCAACUAUUACAUUAGAGGCUCCCCACCCUGAUGGGAUUUCCAGCUACGGGAAACAGCUCCCACAAGCCACUCUCCCAGAUGUGUUGACAGUGUGUUCCUUCCUUGCUAGGCUGUGAGCAGCCUGAGGACAGAGACUCUUCUCAUCAGCCUCAGAACCUUCAGGAGUGAGCACAGUCCCGAGCACAGAGCUAGUGCUAAGUAAAGGCUUGUUAAAUGGAAAGAGAGCCACUGAAGACAUCGGGGACUAUAUUCUUUAAAUAGAGAGACAGAGUGAAAGAAAGAGAGGAAGGAAGGAAGAAGAAAAGAAAAAGAGAGGUCCUAGGUAAUCUCAAGGGCAAGGACCCAAGGGCAAGACUGUGGUUUGCUCUGGCUGGAGCGGAGGGCAGUGGGCACACAGUGUCACCUUCUUAACACGCCCAAGGAGC